UCAACACAGGGCACCCAGACGUCCUCUUUCCUACCUGGAUUCUUAGCAGGUGGUGGGCUCUGUCAGGAUGAAGCUGAGCAUCUCCUUCCCAGCCACUGGCUGCCAGCAACUCCUGGACAAUGAAGCAAGCUCUGCCUAUUCCAGAGGCGAGAGGUUACAGAAGUAGUUGCUGAUCCUCUGGGUGAAUAGUGGAGAGGCUACAUGGUCUGAACCAGUGGUGGGAACAGCCGAGAAGGGUUUCCCUUGAAAGGGCCCAGCAAGGUGUGUGGACCUGCUGUUGUGUAAACCUCUUGUUAGAGACCAAAGAAAACCGGAGAGGGGCAGCCAGAGCCUGUCUGCAGUCACAUUAUGGAUGCCGGUCUGAUUUCUCAACUUGAUUAUCAUAAGCGAAGGAGAGGAGACUCCCAGACAGAGAGACAUGACUGUGCUUCAGCGGUUAGGACCCAGAAGAACUGCAGAAACUGAAAGCUUUUCAGUCUUUCUGAAGAGGCUGAUGGUGUCGGCCAACACAUUGUCAGAAAGUAAGCAGAGGGUGUAAGAAGCCGAGGACCAAAGCCCCCAAGAUCCAGCAUGUGGUUACUCCAGCAAAUGCUGAUGUAUUGUUCAGUGGAGACACCAUGCUGUGGAGACCUAGGAGAGGCUGCAGCUAAGCAUUGGGCCAGGAGAAUGAAGGAAGUCAAAGUGGGGGGAAAUGCCAGGAACAGACUCCCAAGAGAUGUAGCCUGCUUCCACUUCCAAGUCAACAAAAAAUGAUCCAAGCUUCAAAAAUACAUUUUGGUGGCUUGGGAGGGCAGCCACAGGGCUCAGUGUGUAAAGGCACUUACACACCUGAGUUUCAUCCCUGGACCCACCUGGUGGAAGAAGAAAACGGACUCCAGCAAGUUGUCCUCUGUCCCCCACACCUGUGUUAUAGCUCCCACAUGCACACACACAAUACAUGAAUAGAUUUGAGACACCUUAAAAUACCAAAAAUAGAAUUUUUUUAUUAAACCCCA
rnacentral:lncRNA from 1 species